AGAUGGGGAGGGAGAGCACCUUUCCACCUUUCCACUGGGAACAGAGCAGCCUGGGGACAAACCCCGGUGACCAUGGCUAGAGGCCACACCCCAGACCCUGCACUGCCCUCGCCUUGUGCCAGGUCAUGAAAAUCAGGGCCCUGACCCACUGAGUCCUUUCUGUGGGUCCUGGGUUCUUACUGUGGAAGAACAGGAGACCUGUUCUCAGGCCAGUCCACGCCCACCAUGCCACCCCGUCCCCUGGUGCUUCUUAUGAGGACCUGUGAGGCGGAAGCUGCCAUCAGUGCUGCCCAUGCCACCACGCCAGGCUCCUGCCCUUCUGUUCGGAGCUACGUGUCGCCCAGUGAAGCCCUUCGAUGGUGGGCACUUUCCAUCUUCUACCUGGGGCUGACCAUCUCAAAGUACCCGCCCAUCUGGAGUUUGCCUCCGGUCCUUUCCCUCCAGGGGGUAACAGCCUGUGACAUUUGAAGACUGGCACUUUCCCUGCGUGGACUUUGUGACCAGUGUUAUCUUAAAGAAGUAACUUAACAUAGACCAGAGGAACGUCGGAAGGUACUCCUGGACCCACCCCCAGCCCCAUUCUGCAGGACACAUUCAGGUGGGGGGCGGGUCAGGACCACGUUAUUGAGGAGCAACGGGCACUGUCCUGCAGGGCGUCUCGUCUGAAGCCAGCCAUGAGGUCACACGCAGUCGUCCAC
rnacentral:lncRNA from 1 species